ACGCUCGACACCUACGGGGGCAGCAGUGGGGAAUAUUGCACAAUGGGGGAAACCCUGAUGCAGCGACGCCGCGUGAAGGAUGAAGUAUUUCGGUAUGUAAACUUCUAUCAGCAGGGAAGAAAAUGACGGUACCUGACUAAGAAGCCCCGGCUAACUACGUGCCAGCAGCCGACGGUAAUCUGAGGCGGGCGUGGACGAAGGC
rnacentral:rRNA from 1 species